UCUGGGGAAAGAACAGAAAUUCAUUGAAUCGUCAUAUAAGGUUAUUUCCAUUUUGGAGCCGACGGCAUUCCGAGAAAUAUCUAGUCUGAGCUGAAAGGCGGCGAGAUGACCGGCGCCGCGGCGCUGGGGGCGCUGGGGGCGGCGCUGUGCUGGG